CCCUUAGAUGUUCUGGGCUGCACGCGCGCUACACUGACGCACGCAACAGGUGCCUGCUCCGAGAGGACUGGGUAAUAAUUUGAGUGUGCGUCGUGAUGGGGAUAGAAUAUUGUAAUUAUUACUCUUCAACGAGGAAUUCCUAGUAAGCGCAAGUCAGCAGCUUGCGCUGAUUACGUCCCUGCCCUUUGUACACACCGCCCGUCGCUCCUACCGAUGGGUGAUCCGGUGAAUGAUUCGGACUUCAGCGGCUCCUCUGGGGUGCGCCGGAGAAAGUUUUGUGAACCUUAUCACUUGGAGGAAGGAGAAGUCGUAACA
rnacentral:rRNA from 1 species